rnacentral:rRNA from 1 species
GAUGAACGCUGGCGGCGUGCCUAAUACAUGCAAGUCGAGCGAACAGACGAGGAGCUUGCUCCUCUGACGUUAGCGGCGGACGGGUGAGUAACACGUGGAUAACCUACCUAUAAGACUGGGAUAACUUCGGGAAACCGGAGCUAAUACCGGAUAAUAUAUUGAACCGCAUGGUUCAAUAGUGAAAGACGGUUUUGCUGUCACUUAUAGAUGGAUCCGCGCCGCAUUAGCGAGUUGGUAAGGUAACGGCUUACCAAGGCAACGAUGCGUAGCCGACCUGAGAGGGUGAUCGGCCACACUGGAACUGAGACACGGUCCAGACUCCUACGGGAGGCAGCAGUAGGGAAUCUUCCGCAAUGGGCGAAAGCCUGACGGAGCGACGCCGCGUGAGUGAUGAAGGUCUUCGGAUCGUAAAACUCUGUUAUUAGGGAAGAACAAAUGUGUAAGUAACUAUGCACGUCUUGACGGUACCUAAUCAGAAAGCCACGGCUAACUACGUG